rnacentral:rRNA from 1 species
GACGAACGCUGGCGGCGUGCUUAACACAUGCAAGUCGAACGGAAAGGCCCUGCUUUUGUGGGGUGCUCGAGUGGCGAACGGGUGAGUAACACGUGAGUAACCUGCCCUUGACUUUGGGAUAACUUCAGGAAACUGGGGCUAAUACCGGAUAGGAGCUCCUGCUGCAUGGUGGGGGUUGGAAAGUUUCGGCGGUUGGGGAUGGACUCGCGGCUUAUCAGCUUGUUGGUGGGGUAGUGACUUACCAAGGCUUUGACGGGUAGCCGGCCUGAGAGGGUGACCGGCCACAUUGGGACUGAGAUACGGCCCAGACUCCUACGGGAGGCAGCAGUGGGGAAUAUUGCACAAUGGGCGGAAGCCUGAUGCAGCAACGCCGCGCGCGGGAUGACGGCCUUCGGGUUGUAAACCGCUUUCGCCUGUGACGAAGCGUGAGUGACGGUAAUGGGUAAAGAAGCACCGGCUAACUACGU